GUGGGUUGGUACGGGAACGGUAUCUACUUCAGUGAAUACCCUCGGUUUGCGAUGAAUUACAUGAAGAAGACCAGCAAGUUAAUCAUGUGCCAAGUCCUGAAUGUUGGGAAGACCUUCAGGUGUCCGAAGUUAAAACUUGAGCCCCCAAAGAGCCUGGAUACGACUGUCAUGUAGACCCCUAUGGCAAGGAAAUUGUGAUAUACGAGGAGGACUGCAUUCUUCCUUGCUACAUUUUGCAUUUCGACAUCUGCAAGAGAUUCAAGUUCAAAGAAGACAAGGAAUCCGCUAACGACAACGACGACACUGCCCUCGAGUACCUGAACGAAAUGGAAAAUGCACAAAGGAGAGGUGUUCCUGGCUUCUGAUUACACGUGGUGGUGUCGAUCAUGUAGAUUGGAUCUCUGUUGUUGCAGGCGAACUAAACUCUUAAUGAUAUUGCUAACUAAACUGGCUUGUAAACUGUCUGAUAUUGUAUUCCUCUUUGACUAUAUAAUGUAGUGCUAUUAUGAAUUCGCACAAUGAAUACAUUUUGCUGGACACAUGUGAAUAAAUGUUUAGCA